UACGGGGGGAGCAAGCGUUGUUCGGAAUUACUGGGCGUAAAGCGUGCGCAGGCGGUUCGCUAAGACAGAUGUGAAAUCCCCGGGCUUAACCUGGGAACUGCAUUUGUGACUGGCGGGCUAGAGUAUGGCAGAGGGGGGUAGAAUUCCACGUGUAGCAGUGAAAUGCGUAGAGAUGUGGAGGAAUACCGAUGGCGAAGGCAGCCCCCUGGGCCAAUACUGACGCUCAUGCACGAAAGCGUGGGGAGCAAACAGG
rnacentral:rRNA from 1 species